rnacentral:rRNA from 1 species
CUUUCAAGUCAGGAGUGAAAGGCUACGGCUCAACCGUAGUAAGCUCUUGAAACUGGGAGACUUGAGUGCAGGAGAGGAGAGUGGAAUUCCUAGUGUAGCGGUGAAAUGCGUAGAUAUUAGGAGGAACACCAGUUGCGAAGGCGGCUCUCUGGACUGUAACUGACGCUGAGGCACGAAAGCGUGGGGAGCAAACAGGAUUAGAUACCCUGGUAGUCCACGCUGUAAACGAUGAGUACUAGGUGUCGGGGGUUACCCCC